rnacentral:rRNA from 1 species
GUGCCAGCAGCCGCGGUAAUUCAGAAAGAAAUAGCGUAUAUUAAAGUUGUUGUGGUUGAAAAGAAAAGGAAAUGAACCUUGGGCCUGGCUGGCCGGUCCGCCUCACCGCGUGCACUGGUCCGGCCGGGCCUUUCCCUCUGUGGAACCCCAUACCCUUCACUGGGCGUGGCGGGGAAACAGGACAUUUACUUUGAAAAAAUUAGAGUGCUCCAGGCAGGCCUAUGCUCGAAUACAUUAGCAUGGAAUAAUAAAAUAGGACGCGCGGUUCUAUUUUGUUGGUUUAUAGGACCGCCGUAAUGAUUAAUAGGGACAGUCGGGGGCAUCAGUAUUCAACUGUCAGAGGUGAAAUUCUUGGAUCAGUUGAAGACUAACUACUGCGGAAAGCAUUUUGCCAAGGAUGUUUUUCAUUAAUCAGGAACGAAAGUUUAGGGGAUCGAAGACGAUCAGAUACCGCCGUAGUCUUAACCAUAAACUAUGCCGGACUAGGGAUCGGACGGGGUUAUUUCAUGACCCCGUUUCGGCACCUUACGAGAAAUCAAAGUGCUUUGGCUCCAGGGGGGAGUAUUGGUCGCAAGGCUGAAACUUAAAAGAAAAUUGGACGGAAGGGCACCCACCAGGGUGGGGGCCUGCGGCUUAAAUUUGACUUCACCACGGGGAACUUCACCAGGUUCAGACACAAAUAAGGAUUGAUAAAUUGGAACGCCUUUCUUGAUUUUUUGGGUGGGGUGCCUGGCCGGUCCUUAGUUGGGGGGGUGACUUUUCCUGCCUAAAUUCGAAUACGAACUAAAACCCUAUCCCUGCCAAAUAGGCCGCCAUUGGGCGCCGGAGGUCGCUCGGGCUUCUUAAAGGGAGCUCUCCGCCUCCUGCCGCAAG